rnacentral:lncRNA from 10 species
CUUUGGACAAAAGUCUAUAGCCAGUGCAUUUGAAAACUCCCCUUGCACCAGGGCUGACUGUAGCUGGGGGAAGACAUUUUACUCAUUUGCUCUUUCCUUUCAUACAGUCAGCUGGUCCCUCUUCUCAGGUGUAGAUCACCUAUUAUAAUUUUACCUAAUUUUGAUACUCUGAUAAGGAAAGUCCCAGGACUUAUCAGCUGGGAUAGGCCUCACUUACAAGACAGCUCUGUUCAGUAUUUGGAAGAAAGAAAGCCUGACAGGUUUCUUCGGAAAAGUGGCCAUCCAUGGAAUGAAUGAAAUGUUCUCUUUCUAUUCCAGGGAUUGCAGUGGCAAAGCUAGGCUAGGUCUUGGAGGCUGGUGUAAGGCGAUGUGGGUGAAGGCAGGAGGCUGAUGGAAAGACUGGGGGGAAGAAAAGCCGAAAUGGAUUCACGGUGCCUUGGAUGAAGGACGAGAGGGGAACUGCAAGCUCCUUCAACUGGUUCUGUCCGGUGAGAAGUGAUCAAGCUUGGGCUGACAAGAGGCUCAGGGAGCCCUCACGUUCUUUCGCUUUUUUACCUGCCAAUCAAACUGCUACAAGACAACACCCUGAUCUGGCAUGGACAUAUCCAACUUAGAAAUAAUGUUUCAUUCAAGAUAAGGCUCGUGGCUUAGGAGAUUGUGACCUGGCUUGCAUCAUUCUAAGACUUCUAUCGUCUGUUUUCAAAACCCAAGGAGGACCUCCUUUUCUGUGUGAUAGUUCCUCAUGCUUUGCCAGCCACUGGGUCUUUAAGGAAGCUUGCCAAGAGUUCCCGGCUGGGAAGGACAGUUCGAGUUCAUCAUAGACAAUGAGCUGGCACCACAGUUUAAGUGACUCACCAACCUGGUUGCCCACUUCAAAAUGUCAAGAACCACACUAUCUAAUUGAAAGAACUGUGUUUUAGCAAAGUGUAAUUGGAUCGCCUGGCAAGAUCAUCUCAAACUAUGUCUCUGACCUUGCCUUUCAGUGGCUAUUUUGAGCACAAGAGGAGAAAGGAAAUGAUUCCUGAAUUAUAUCUUGUUUUUAAAAAUUAAGAUUAAUUAAUACUUGGUUUUAUGUUCAUUCCAUUGUAGGAACUUAGUGAUUAUUACAAAACAGUCAAAAUAGGUCAUAGCAAAAUGAACGUUUAAGAUUAGGUUAAAACAUUCCUCUGAAAUUUUAGUAUUCACUUUUGAAGUGUCAAUUACUAUAUUUCUGUAAUUUCUCAUUUUUUUCUUGGCUUAGAGUCAAGAUGAAAAAUGAUAUUUGAAUCAAAGACAUUGUUUUGUUAUAUAGCCACUCCUUUCUAAAAUGCAAAUCCACCCUCCCCUCACCAAUGCUUUAUUCUUUGUGCGCGCACACACACACACACACACACACACACACACACACACACACAGACAUACACAGAACCAGCACCCAAAUGGUAGAGGAGUUUUAUAACGUGCAUAGGUUUACCCCAUGGGGAAUUAAAAUUUUUAUCUGCAAGUAUUUCUGUUGUUGUGAGACUUUAGGACAAGACAACAUUUGGUGUUAACAUAGAAGAAUAUUCUAUGGCUUUUUUAGCUUUAAAGUUCAUUACUCUAAAAUAAAGUACACGUGGUAUUUUUUUCUUCCUAGUGUUCUCUUAUUAUAUGUAGAGUAUUUUCGGUUGUUGUUUUUAACGUAUACAUUAUUUUUAUUAAGUCAUUUCAUAAAAGAUAAGAUAUAUACUAAUAGACCCUUGGUUUUCUCCUAAUUUAAUUAUUUCAAGUCAAGCAAAAUUGGGCAAUUUUCUUUCAGGAAAAAAAAAAUAUUGAGCAUGAUUUUGAGGUAAAACUGAUUAUUUACAGCAUCUUUUCUCUAAUAGGCUAACAUUUAUGAUGGAUCUUAUUUCAAAGUUGAUUAUUCUCAAAGAAAAGUGGAGAUAUUAGAAUUUCCGAGUAAAUUGCAUUGUUUUAAAAAGUACUUUAAUGCAUUGUUCACAUUGUUGCCAGCUAUUGACCAAAAAAGAGAAGAAGAAAAAAGAAAUAAAAAAAGCAGUAUCUGCUCCAAACGUCAAGUUUUGCAGUUUGAAAGACUUGUACAUUAUAAUUGUUUUUUUCUUUUUUGGAAAGCAGUAGUAAUUAAUACCAAAGGCAUAGACAAUUUAGGGCCAUAACCUCCCUUCCCCCCUCUCCACCUUUUUUUUUUUUUUUUUUUUUUUUUAACUUUAACCAUGAUAGGCAUCUCUGCAAGGUAGGUUUUAACAUAUUUUUUUCCUAAUUUUUUUCCCUCCAUUCAGUAAGAAGGAUAAGCUUUUAGAGUACCCAGUCACCGUGGUAACUGCCAAAAAAAUUCUCCUGAAGUUUGAAGAGGUCAGCUAGCAGGGUCAACAACCCUGGCCUCUCUCUGAGCUCGGUCUAGCAUGCCCCAGCCUGCGGUUGGAGUGUCAGGCCAGAUCUGACCCUGGGAGGUGGACCAUUCUGGCUCUGAUAUAAAUUUUUCGAGUCAGUUCAUGGCCUGGACUCUCCAGGUGGCCUCCAAAAUCGAUUUUGACCCCCUGACCCUGUCUCACGGAGGCAUAGCAUCCACCCUAAGUAAGGAUUUAGCCAGGAAUGACAGCUUUCCACUGAGUGUUAUUGGGGACAGUAUAAACAGUUUGGAAAGCAAGUAAGGAGGUGUGAGGGCUAGCAAUCAUUAAAAGCACAUUAAAAAACAAUUUUUAAAAAUCUUUAUUAGAGAAAGUUGUAAAUGCAUAUCUGUUACAGAAUUCCUGUGAUUUGUAGAGUUUUCUAGUCAGUUUUGAAUAUAAAUAGGUCACAUAUCUUUAUCUUUUUGCAUACUUUGUUACAAAUAUGCAAAUAAGAUAGGCAUACUUGCUACAAAAUAGGUACAGCAGGAAUGUAAUAUGUUCAGAAAAGGCAAACUGGUUAUUAAAACACAUUAACAGGUAAGGAGUUUCUAAUAUUUUAAAUACUAAAAUUUUACAUGUGUAUUUUGAAGUUUUUAAAAUGGAAAAAUAAAGAACCUUUAAAAAACCCAACAGUGUGGAAUAAAGAUAAACUUGUUGCACUCAAGGUACAUUUCUACUUUGUAAAGCAAGAAGCCAAUACACUCAGUUGGAUAAAAAUGAGAGAAAAAUUGUAAAUAUAGAGAGUUACAGCUUAUAGAGCUGAAGAGGAAUAAAACAAAAAAAAGUGUCUCUGAAUAACUUUAUGUAUUUUCAACAGUUUAAGAUAUCAGAAACUUGGAAAAUAAAUAUGAUAUAUAUAUAAAUCAUCAGUGAUUAUUUCCUUUUCAUUCCCCCCCGCCCCCAGGAUGCCACCGUGAGUGUUUGAUUUUCUCUAGGAAAGUAGAAUUCUCUUUGAGAGUUCUAGCCUGUGAACUCAGUAUGUAAAUGUGGCCAUCAAGAAGACAGAACUGCCAAGAGGAAAGAUUAUGAAUGUUUUUCUUCCUUAAAACCAUUCACAGUGUUUCUUCUUCCAGUGCUUUACUCAGACUUCUCCCCUUUUCCCAGCUCUGUUGAAAAUGGCUUCAAAAGCAACACUGCAGUGGCUAAACCAAUUGUACUGUGAAGUUGUUGAGAUGCCAUUUCAUCUGAAUCCUUCGUAAAAAUUAGAUUUUUAAGUAGGGGUGAAUAUCCUUUUGGGAGAGGGAAUGGGAGGGUAGAAGAAGGGGGGAAAGGACAGAGCAGUUUAUAUAUAUAUAUUCUUUGUGUUUGAAGGCCUCUGUGUCUUGGCUUCUCACUAUGUUAAAUCCCUAUUAUAAAACUUAUCUUCACAAAGCCUAUUAUAGUAUUCUGAGAACAAAUUGGACCAUGAAUAACUUAGUUGGAAGUGUAGAUUAUUUUCUACUCAGGGGAAGUUAGAGAUGACAACAGCUUAACUGAAAGAAUAGUGAUUAAUCUUAAAUAGAUGGAUUUCAAAGUUUCACUCUUGAUAAAGAGUACCUUUGAUAUUUCCCCUCUUCAGAAUCACGUUUCCACUCUCUUUGUAUUAAGAAUUGUCCUAGUGAUUACACUCUCCCCCUAAUACAGCUCAAAGUGUAGAUCAUUUUUUUUCCAGGUUGUUAAUUUGUCAGAGAGGUGACCAGAAAGACACUCUACUUCCUGUUGGUUAAAUCGAUGAUUCCUAAGUGGUACUAGGCUUAGAUACAAAAGUCAAUGAUAAGAAUAUCUUGCAUAAAUCAUAGCUUCUUACUUAGAUAAAAUUCUUAUUUAAAAAUUUUUAAUUUGCUUAAUGCCCUAUAGCUUACAAAGCACUUUUUAAAUCAUAAUUUUGUUUAAUCCUUAGAAUAAUGUUAUAAGAUAAACAAAACUCAUCAAUCCCAUUUUACCUGUGAUUGCACACUGUGAUUGAGCUAAUAAAUGGAAGAAUUGAGAUACCAACUCAGAUUUUGUAGCUUCUGUUUCAAGUGAUUAACCUGUAGCAACAGGCUUUUGAAUUAUUUUUGUGUUCUAUAUCCCUGAAGAUAAAGAUUCUGUAUUAAAGAGCCAAGAUUUUAUAUCUCACAAAUUAAAAACUUAAAAGACAUGACUGAAAAGAAUUCUGUUUACUUUAAAGUGAAUUUUACCAGUUAUUAUUUUUCUUUCUAUAUAUAUGCUUAAAUGGUCUUUCAGAACUGACGGUUUUAAUUUCCAAAAGUUAAACAUGGGAAGCUCUAUAUAAAUUAAAUAACUAUCUGGAAUUUAAACCACGUAUAUAAGAAACUUAGAUUCUAUAUUUCAAAGUAAAAUAUAGCAUAAGACUUUAGAAGCAGGUUCUACAUAUUAAGUAAUUAUUUGAGAAUAUGCCAUUGAUAAAGCUCUUGAGUGUUAGAGGCGAGAUUUCCCUUCAAUUUUAAAAAACUUUUAAAAUCUUUUAACAUCUUAGCAAGUCUGGAUAAACAAAGUCAAAGUCAUAUAGAACUACUUUUGUUCUCUUAGGCUUUUACUUUUUGUGUUUAAUAAAAAGGUUUGCAAAAUACUCUAGGAAAAAUAAUAAAAGGAUUAUUAACUUGACAUUAAUGUAAACCAUCUAAACAUUACAGAAAUCAAGAAAUACAAAUAGAUGACAUUAUUUUAUUCUUAGGUUUUUAAUUAUAUUGCUUUAAACAUGUAAUGUGGGCAGUGUAGAUGUUAAUAUGGAAAUUCUUAUUUUUUAUUUCUUAAAUUAUAUAAAAUUAAAUUAGUCAUUUUAUAUAUACUUAAAUUAAUGCUUUUGCCCUUGAAAUAUUCUAGCAGCCAGAAAAAUCUAGUUAAGCUUGUUAGCAUUAGACAAAAUGAAAAAGUGUAGAGAAAAAGAAAAGCGACUGUUCUGGUAUCAAUAAUGACAUAUGAUAACCUUUUUUUGUACUGAAGUUUUUCUACAAAAACAUGACAUUAGACUGAGGAUUUUUCAUUCUGAUGUGCAGGUUAAUGUUCAAGUCUCCAAAUACAAACUUCUAGUGUCUCCUCCACUUGUAUGCAAAUUAGGAAAUGCAAAAAUAAGGUCUCUUAAAUUGACAGCUAUGUUUGUUUAGAUAUUCUUCAAAAUUUUAUAAUUUCUUAUAUUACCAAUCUCACUCAUUUUGGUCAUGUGUGUCUUUAACAGCUGUUCAAAACAGGUUUUCUUCCCUUCCUCCUUCCUUCCUUCUGCCCUUCGUUCCCUUCCUUCUCUCUCUUCCCCUUCUCUUUUUCCUGCUUUCUUUCUUGUCCCUCUUCCCUAUCCUUCCUUUUUUUCUUUCUCCUCUCUUUUCAUCCCUUCUUCUUUCCUACGUUACUCAUUAGUUUUUAGGUGUUUUUGUUUUAAAAUGCAGGGCAGCUUGGGUUAAGGGGUUAUCUAAUGCAAUAUAUUUUGCCAAACUGAGGUGCUGAACAAUGAAACAUUUCAGUUUAAACUUGCAUCAAGUCAGAAAACCCUCAAGUAUGGUAUCAAGACUUUUCUGACAAUGAAAAUCCAAUACUGAAUGAUCAACUUUUAAAAUGUUACAGAUUCUGGCAGUUUCUCUCUUGCUAUCUUUGUAGUCUUUCUAAGUCAUCUAAACUAUUGGUUAGUUAUGUUAGCUUCUUGUGUUGCAAAGAAAAAGAGCAUUUUUAGAAAUCUGACAAGAAAUUUUGUCAAAUUGCUACACAUAAUUUGUAUAUAAGUACAUAAAAGCACAAUACUAGCUAGCAUUGAAAAAUUUGAAUAAAGAUCAGAGAUUUCUCACUUUUUUCCCACCCCUGUCCAAUAUACUGUGGUAUUAAAUAUUUAAUAUAUGUUCAUUUUUUCUCUUCCUUUCCCCAACCCCCACAAAGCUGUUAUCAAUCUGGACAGAUGAAUAAAUUUUGGCAAAAUAAGAUUUGUUUAGAAUGGUAAGAAUUCUUCCUAAUAAAGUUUUUAAGCAAGUCAAUAAGGCAUAAAAAUGUUCUGUAUUCUUCUAAA